CACACACUUAAGAAAGCUCACUGUCACAGAAACACACAUACACAAAGUUACAGCACCAGAGUACAGGCUACUUAGAGCCCAGACAUUCUUCCCCCCCCCCUCCUUUUUUUUCUCCCACCCUCUUUCUCUUUCCCUUCCUCCCUUUGCCUCUCUCCUCUCAUCUUUCCUACUCCCCGUCUCUUCCGGGCGGUUGUGUUUGACGUUUCAGUGUUAUGAGUGUGGUGAUUGUCAAGUUUGGUUCAGUGAUCUGUGGAAGUGUCCUUUGGGGUCCUCUAACUCUGACAGGCAUUUUCCAGGGACAGCUAAAACUCUUCAUCACAGGGAGGUGAGGCCCAGUCAACCUAAUCACUGCUAAACAGAAUGAGAGACAACCAAAGGAAGGAAAGAAAGAGCCAACCGAAGAGCUGGUCAUGCAGUAACGAACAUCCUGGCCAAAGAGUUGAUGAAGGAGGACACCCCGCCCUCCUUCAGCAAACCGCUCAAUAAGAAGACCAAGGCAGAACAGAAGGAGGAGCCUAGCAUAGAGGGGGCGGGGUCACUAGAUGAUCUCUUAGAGGAAAGCCUAUCACGGUCCAGUUAAAAAAAACGGGUAGAAGUUACCCCUUAGCCACAGAUCUUGGAUCAGCCUACCAUACCCAUAUCCUAACCUUAACCAUGGGGGCAGGGAUACAGAAACUGAUCUUAGAUCAGUGUCUAGCAGCAACUUCCUCCUACUCUCCUUCGUAGGACCACGGGAUUGGACAGACUGGGUCUGAAGGGGCCAAUGGAUGAGUGCGGGGCUCUCACCUUAACCACACUCCCAGGGUUUCGCAGGCUGGCUUGCUAUUAGUCGCUUCCACGCUGAGGGAGGACUCUUGCUCUGCCGUAUAAACGUACAGUAUCAAUGGUCAAGCGUCAGCAUCUGCACACAUCCACUGCACUCUGUCUAUCGCUCAUUCAGUCUCUUUCUCUAUCAAUUUCUCUCACACACACUGUCACUAUCUAUCCAUCUACUUUCCUCUCUCUCUGAAGUACGUCUUGAGACAGUCCCACAGACACUUUAUCAGAAGGGAUCCUAUUUUUUAUCAUUUUUUUCUCCAGAGGGAUAGGAUGGAUUUCCCAAUCUGGAUGGUUGGACUGUCCUACCUAUGUGGAAGCCCUGAUGUUUUAUAGAACAUGUUUAGCUUUUUCCCAGGUUUGGUUUCAAACCUGUUAAAUGUUGCUCUGUAAUUGUCAAAUAUGCUGUAUGUUUAUAAAAGAAACAAGUGCCAACCAAUACAACUUGAAGUUGCACAUGUCAGCCCUCGUGUUGUCCAAUAGGAGUUUGUGUUGGGUUAGGGUGGACCAAGGGAUAGGUCUAAGUGUGUGUGUGCGCACGUGUUCCACAGUCCUCAUCUCAUUUCCCCGGUUCUUUAUGUUCUCUCUGAUUCACAGGGAGGAGUCACUAUGUCGGUGAUAAACAGACUAUAGGGCCUUAUUGGCCAUUCUCAAAGGACGUCUCCACAAGCAGGAAAUUGUGUGUGUGUCCAGAGCUACGUGUGUGUGUGUGUGUGUGUGGUUGUUUGUGCAUUCAUGUUGUGUGCGUGCGUGUGCGAGUUUGUGCUUGGGUAUGCUCUGCCAUCUGUAAUUACUGUAUGGUCCUGCCUCUGCCUGCCUGUCUGCCGUCAUCAUAAAUGCUAUAUUUCCUAAACAGCGCUGUGGUCUUUCUGCUGAAGUUACAGCACACUGGAGACCUGCCCCCCAAAAAAUGCUGAGACGAGUGUGUGUCCCCGAGUGUGUGUCGCCGUGCGUGUGUGUGUGCGCGCUUGCCCCUUUAGACUGCAACACCCGUUGCUGAAUGUCUGGCCUUUCCGGUUUUGUAUUUGUAUUCAACAUCAGCAAAUGUUGCCGCCACAACGUUCGUGUAAUCCAAGGAGAAUGAUAAGCAGUUCUGCCAGUUAACCCAUGCUUUACCAAUCCCUAUGCAAACAUGACAUAUCCCUACUGCUGAUCUCAAGUCAGUCACAAACGGUUAGAGCAUCUGCUUGAACAACUGUGGUUUCCCGUAAGCGCUGAUCAGAGAUCGGUUUGUACAGGUCUCUGGAAUCGAGCCAAGCACAAGCUUGUUGGGCUUUUACCAGCACAACAUAUUGUUAUUAUCAAAGAGCUGAGAGAUCGUUUCAUGAUAAUAAUCAUUGCUUCCUGCAGUAUAUUUCAAAGGUAUAAAAAUGACAAAUGUUACCGCAACGUCUGUGUGACUUAGCAACUUCAGUCAAGGGGCGACGAGGAAACAUUCAGCCCUUAGAUUGUAGUUGUUUGCCAGAAACAGAAGUAUGACGUGUCGACCGUAAGACAACGUUCCUUGUGUGGAUGAGUCAUUUCAGGUGAUCCUGUCCCUAUUAUUUAAGUGGUCUUUUAAAGGACGUUGAGGAAAGGUUGAAAAAACAUCACUGGAAAAUAAUCCAAUUUUCUGGCCUGAUUUUAUAAUUUUCUAGAUUUUUUCAUUUUUUCAUUUUUUUUCUUUUUAUAAGAGCUUGUUUUCUAUGUGAAUUUUUACUCUUGUUUUAAUGGACGUUAAAAGUAGAGGUUCAAGUUGAUUUCCGGAGAUAUCACUGUGGUAAUAUGUAUUAGAUUAUGUAAUUCGUUUGUGCUGUCCGCUACCAUUAAAAUGACUUCAAU
rnacentral:lncRNA from 1 species